AGUGAACGCUGGCGGCAGGCUUAACACAUGCAAGUCGAGCGGAGCGAGGGUGCUUGCACCUUAGCUUAGCGGCGGACGGGUGAGUAAUGCUUAGGAAUCUGCCUAUUAGUGGGGGACAACAUUCCGAAAGGAAUGCUAAUACCGCAUACGCCCUACGGGGGAAAGCAGGGGAUCUUCGGACCUUGCGCUAAUAGAUGAGCCGAAGUCGGAUUAGCUAGUUGGUGGGGUAAAGGCCUACCAAGGCGACGAUCUGUAGCGGGUCUGAGAGGAUGAUCCGCCACACUGGGACUGAGACACGGCCCAGACUCCUACGGGAGGCAGCAGUGGGGAAUAUUGGACAAUGGGCGGAAGCCUGAUCCAGCCAUGCCGCGUGUGUGAAGAAGGCCUUUUGGUUGUAAAGCACUUUAAGCGAGGAGGAGGCUACUAGUAUUAAUACUACUGGAUAGUGGACGUUACUCGCAGAAUAAGCACCGGCUAACUCUGUGCCAGCAGCCGCAGUAACAC
rnacentral:rRNA from 1 species